rnacentral:rRNA from 1 species
CCCUUAGAUGUCCUGGGCCGCACGCGCGUUACACUGAUGCAUUCAACGAGCUUAUAACCUUGGCCGAGAGGCCUGGGCAAUCUUGUUAACGUGCAUCGUGAUAGGGAUAGAUUAUUGAAAUUAUUAAUCUUGAACGAGGAAUUCCUAGUAAACGCAGAUCAUCAAUCUGCAUUGAUUACGUCCCUGCCCUUUGUACACACCGCCCGUCGCUACUACCGAUUGAAUGGUUUAGUGAGAUCCUUGGAUCGGCCCUGUCGCGGCUGGCAACGGCCGCGUCGGCGCGUCGAGAAGACGAUCAAACUUGAUCAUUUAGAGGAAGUAAAAGUCGUAACA